GCGGGUGUGGUGGAAUUGGUAGACACGCAAGAUUUAGGUUCUUGUACCGCAAGGUGUGGGGGUUCAAGUCCCUCCACCCGCACCA
rnacentral:tRNA from 1 species